rnacentral:sRNA from 1 species
CUGUUUCAAUUUGUUGAGGGCAUAUAAAAUGAAUAUGUGCGUCAAUUCCCCCUGCUGUAACAAUCAUUCCCUCGGCAGCAAUCACCUCUGUAGAAGCACCAAUAUUAAUAUUUACACCAUCCAUCAAUAGCGGAUUUCCUGCUUUCCCAAUUGCUGAGAUUAAACCGUCCUUUAUGCCUAUAUCCGCUUUAUAAAUCCCUGUAUAGUCUACAAUGACAGCGUUUGUUAAGACGAGAUCCGCACAUUCUUUACUUGUUGCUAAAGGAUGCUGCCCCAUUCCGUCACGA